rnacentral:rRNA from 1 species
CAAUAGCGUAUAUUAAAGUUGUUGCAGUUAAAAGCUCGUAGUUGGAGUUCAGAGUGAGCUCGUCCGGUCGGCCUUAUGGGUCAGAACUGGUUGACUCUCUCUUGUUUGUGGAUCCUGUCAGCAGUUAACUCUGUUGAUGUGGAGUCCACAUCGUUUACCUUGAAAAAUUAGAGUGUUCAAAGCAGGCGUUUGCUUGAAUAUAUUAGCAUGGAAUAAUGGAAUAGGACGCUGGUUCUAUUUUGUUGGUUUUGAGAACCAGAGUAAUGAUUAAUAGGGACAGUUGGGGGGCAUUAGUAUUUAAUUUCGAUUCAGAGGUGGAAAUUCUUGGAUUUAUGAAAGACUAACUACUGCGAAAGCAUUUGCCAAGGAUGUUUUUCAU